UACGGAGGGUGCAAGCGUUAUCCGGAUUUACUGGGUUUAAAGGGUGCGUAGGCGGGCCCUUAAGUCAGUGGUGAAAGCUCCGAGCUUAACUCGGAAACUGCCAUUGAUACUAUAGGUCUUGAAUUUGGUCGAGGUUGGCGGAAUGUGUCGUGUAGCGGUGAAAUGCUUAGAUAUGACACAGAACACCGAUUGCGAAGGCAGCUAGCUAGACCGACAUUGACGCUGAGGCACGAAAGCGUGGGGAUCAAACAGG
rnacentral:rRNA from 1 species